AAACUAUGAAAAUGAAAAUGAUAUUUUUGGGUCUUCUUUUCUUAUUUUUCAAUACCACUCGUUCUUAUGAUUAUUUUGUUAUGGUCUUUCGAUGGGCACCAACAUUUUGUCUAAAAGGGUACUAUAAAAGAGCUCUAACAAAUAGCUUUAAAAUUCGCGGACUUUGACCCCCAAACGAAAAUAGAAUACGGAAGUUUUUGGACUUCAAAUUGUUAGUAAUAUUCACUCCUACUUUUCUUAAAAUAUUUUUUUUUAUAAUAAC
rnacentral:lncRNA from 1 species